rnacentral:rRNA from 1 species
UACAGAGGGUGCAAGCGUUAAUCGGAUUUACUGGGCGUAAAGCGCGCGUAGGUGGCCAAUUAAGUCAAAUGUGAAAUCCCCGAGCUUAACUUGGGAAUUGCAUUCGAUACUGGUUGGCUAGAGUAUGGGAGAGGAUGGUAGAAUUCCUGGUGUAGCGGUGAAAUGCGUAGAGAUCUGGAGGAAUACCGAUGGCGAAGGCAGCCAUCUGGCCUAAUACUGACACUGAGGUGCGAAAGCAUGGGGAGCAAACAGG